CAUAUAAAACAAUGCAAGUAAAACAUGCAUAAUACCAAAGCAUAAAAAAUCAAAAUCAAAACAACCAUGACAAAGGUGGGUUAAACUAUUUGUACAAUUUUAGUUGACAAAUAUUGUUGACAAUGUUGGAAGUAGUGAAAUUUGGACCAAUGAUUUAAAAAAUACUUUUUGACAAUUUAAAAAAUGGAUGAAUGUAAUGAUGCCAACAAAGAUUGUCAUCCAUGAUUGUACAAGCAUAAUUGGAAGUUGAUAGUAGUUGUCCGCAGAGGUUCGAGGUUUUAAUGCUGUAAGGAGACGUGGCCCCUCAUGCUCCUUUCAUACCCAAAUUUUACGCCACUUUAGUCAUGUCUCUUACUUUAUUAUCCAAAAUGCCCUUUCUCGCCAUUUGCUCAUGUAGUUUUUAUCUCAAGCCGGGUCAAACUUUCAUGGGCUUAUUAAGGGAGUGGUCAUACAUAUAUAUAUGCAAAAAAUAAAAAUAAUAAAAUCAGAAUUUAAAUGUAAGAUAACCAUGAAUUGCCGAUUAUGCAGCAAAGGAUUUGGUAUUAGUAUUGCCACUACCAAUAGUCUCCACAGGACCAGUAGCCAGCACGACAAAGAUGGAACCUGUUGGUGCCUCUCAAGAUGAUUUCCCUGUUCUCCACCACUGAUACAAUCUUGAAUGCUGUGAGACUGCUGUGGAGACGAAACUGUCGGAAAAGACUGAAAGGAGGAUCUGAUCCGAAUAACUGGUGCAGUUGAUCGGAUGAUUGAAUUGCGUGAUAAUUUUUUCAUGCAUGCUGAAGAUGGGUAGUUUUCGAGGGUAAUUCUUGAAGAAACUGGUUUCAACUCGGUUGAUUUUAGUCCUCAAGACAUCUGAUAUUCAUUUGCAUGUAAUUCAAUCCAAAAAACCAGAUGCCUACCAUUCAACUGUCUUUAAAAUGUGCGGGUUGGACAGGCAGAAGAAUUGCUUGUAUAAAAAUAAGUUACAAUUUACUUCUUUUUCUAAACAAUUUAAGCCCUGUUUGGUUCAGCAAGAAAUUGAUGAAAAUCUAUGUCAAUAUCAACAAUUAAUUUUAACCACACAUUUCAUCAAAAUUGACUAAAAUCUGAUUUUUUGCUAAACCAAACAGGGGCUAACAAGUAACAAGCUAACUUUAAACGUUACCUGUAACAAAAUAAUCAGACAAUAUAACUGAACCCAGGGGAAGUUAAAAAUGCAUCGUAUGCUCAUGACCCUAUAUUAUAUAACCAGCAGCAUUUUCAGUAAGUCACCUAAGUACAAGUUUGUAACAUAAAAAGUCCACCAUUGAUGGUUAAAAUGUACAGCAUAAACUGGAAGUACAACCACAAUGACAAGCUUACCAUACACACUGUUUAAUAGAUAUCUCCAAUUGUUGACACAAAUCCUAAAUAGACAUUCAUUAUCAGAACAACUCUACUGAUUUUUAAUAUUGAAGGCCCUUAAAUUGCAGUUUAC
rnacentral:lncRNA from 1 species